AGGGUUCAAUGUGUUAUUAUAGACCUGGGUUAUUAGUCUAGGGUCUACACGGUGCAUGUAGCUGGAGCAAGUUAACAUGCGCAAGUGACAAGAGCACGCGGGUGGGUAUUGUGCUUUGGUACAUGCGCGAGUCGCUGGACCCGCACGUUUUUAAAAUGCAUGUUACCUGCGCAUGUGCCUCAACAUGCGCAAGCUACUUGCACCGUGUAGACGCACCCUUAGUAAGGGAAAAUAUGGGUGAUGCCCGGUAGUCUUAAGUUCUCUCAGUACGUCCAGAAUAAAACAUGUAGAGGUUAUAGACUUAUGAUGAGGGACUGAUUAUAAUAGGUGAAGCCAAGCAAUCUUCGACUGAUUGCAUUGUCUAUCGACAGUAAGUAGGUAGGUCUACACUAUAUGAAUCUUGGCAGUGUUAAUUCUAUUAUUUACGUUUGAUAGCGCGUUAACCCCAUAUCAGCUGUCGAAAGGUAAAACAGAGUUCUUAUUACACCUUAAGUAACAGUUCACAAUAACGUAAAAAAAACUUCUAUUUAAUAACAAAAUGUUUUUAAAGUUAUAUUCAUCCAAGUUUGUACUAUAAAUGGGAACAAUACUACUUUGAUUACGUAAUCUUAUAAAGAAAUUCUUUUAAAGAGUUUUAUGAAACAAAAAACUCGCAAUAUCGUGUAGCCGUGACCUUCCGGAAACUUACUUAAGUAGGUCAAGUUUCACUCGACUCCAAUAUUAUAAAUUGCCGACAUUGCUUAAAGUUGUAACACGAUUUUUAUUGAAAAGUGCUUACUUUUACAGUAAAAAUAUCUUACAUUUCCGUAAAUAUAAUCACAGUAACUUAGUUAAUAUUAAGUUUCUGUAUUGGAAAACACAGCCUACUAUAUUUGUUGCGUAGUUGGGUAAAGUACCCGUUUUCCGUAAAAGUGCACGUCGAUUUACGAAAUUGGUUUUACUUAUGCAGCACAUUUUGCAAUGUACCUCUAGAUAUCUUAUUAAUACCAAGUUUAUGUCUGGCUUGCGUAUAUGGUACAAAUUCUCAAACCUAUUUGGCCCAAUGUGGUAAAUGGAAGUUGAGAAAUAAAUUAUGGUAUCUUUCUGUCUAAAGUAAGAAACUUGAAACACUUAUAUUCUAUCGUCCUAGCUAAUAGAAUUAUUUGUAUCAUCAUCUGCCUAGCCUUUUACUUCUCUAUAUUAUUUUCCAUGUAAUUAUUUUUGUAACAGUAAUAUCAAAUCUCCUCUCUUCCAAAAAAAAUAAGAGCAAAAUACCAGGAUACCCGCUCUAUUUCAUACAAUUCAAAACUUAAACUACCUGCUUUAAGUUUUAUAAGUAGUACAGAUCAAACUACGUUCAUACGUAGAACAAACUCUUUCGUAUGUAUUUUCCACUUGUCGCGCGAAUAGAGAGAAAGUUAGAAGCAUGGGUCAACAUUACCGGGGAACGAGUUGUGAAUAGUAAUGUCCUAAGAAUAAUGUUACGUAUACUUGUCUGACUCAUACUGUGUACUCUAGGAAUCGGGUAUGUAACUUAAAUAGUCUUACGAAGUCUUAUAAGAGUUGGCAGUAGUAUUUUGAAUUUGAAUUGAAGCGGUUUAAAUUGGUAUAAGUAGCUUGGAGAUAACCAUGUGAAAUUAGCGGCCAACAGCGAGUUUGCAAAUAAAUUCUAGGCUUGAUCAUGAUUUUUGUAAAUACUAAAAUGACAUGUUGUGCCGAUCCAAGAUUAAAUUUGAAUAAUGGUUAGGGGAUUAUGACUAUAAUGCUUUUUGUAUAUUGCCAAAAAGGGAAACCACUUUCUAGACUUUUGCAAUUUCGUUCUUUUCGAAUCUUUUCAUUCAAAAACACUGUUUACUGUAAUUAUCAAAUUUUUAGCGAAGGUACAAUGUAUUACAGUAUAUUAUUUUUUUCACAAAUAAAAGAACCUUUGUCAAUGGGCGAGAUGUUCUAAGAAUUUUAUCAGUAUGUAGUAAAUUAUUUUAAUCUUCAUCCUACGUAUCUGAAACAUAUCUUAUCAUCGAGGUGAUUUCAAUAGUGAAUGUCACGUUCGCUUUAUACUUUAUCGCAGUUUUCUAAGCGAUUCAAAAUUGUGAUAAUGCGUGUAGGGACGUUAUUACCUAUACUAUGCCUUAAGCACAUUUAUAAAUGUUUUUGUUACUACAGAUUACUAACACUUAUUGUUUGUUAAUUUUCAUUAGUUGAAUAAAUUCAGAAUGUCUAGCAUUGGCAUUUUCGAUAUUGGUAUGUUUGUAGGAUCUGACGACACUAAAUUAGCAGAUAGAUAUGUAUAGUGUCGAGGGUGCAUUCAUGAAUUUAUUACAUUUUCUUAAAAAGAAACAAAUAACAUGUUUCAUAAACAUAGCAAUGUUGAAAAUGCUUUUUAACCUUUUUAAUAAAUACUGUAAACGAUAUAUUUUAAAUGUACGUUGUAUGUAACCAUUAUGUAAUUGAGUUUUGUAGUUUUCAGUAAGGCGCCACCGAGUAGGCUGAGCAAAUGAUAAUGAUAAUUAACUUAUUUCUCGGUAUUUAAAAAAAAAAAAUGGUGAUACCAAAUACUCUCAUAUGCCUAAGCCUAGUACUCUCCUGCUAUGAAGAUACUCGAUGGCCCUUUAGAUUAAGGUUUAAUUAAUAGUGUGAGCACCAUCAAUACACCUACCUACUACAUAUCAAUUAAUUAUCGAGUCUUAUCAAGACUUUGGUAACGGAACUGUUAAAAAUUAAUUUUAUCCAAAUAUAAAAUCUCCAAAAAUCGAGGAAGGACACAAUGAUAAGAGAAACUGGAGACUGUUAAUAACGACGUACUGCACCGAUUAGAAAUAAUGCACAGUGUACUGAUGUCGGAAGUUUAUAUUCAUUAGAUUGACGUGAAGAGUCCAUAGUCUUUCCGGAAAACGGACGAGGCUCUAGCGACCGACUGGUUGUAUAACUAAGGUUUAUCUACCACAGAUUAGAGUACCUACCGAUAGUGAGAUAUCAAAUGCCUUGCUUGGAGGUGAGCAGCAACAUAUCCAAAGCUACUAAAAAUAUCAGCAGCACUCGUACCCAACGCGGUGAAUAUGGGCACAUGUCCCCAGCGCCCGGGGCUGAAGACUGGAAGCCGACCCCAACAUAGUUGGGUAAAAGGCUCGGAGGACGAUGGAUGGUCCCCAGCGCUCCAACUGUGGACGUCUUUCGGUGGUGACGACGAUGGCUUUGUUAUUUAUACAGAUCGUUCGAAUUGGAGGUUCCGUUGAAGAGGCUAAGAAGCCAGAAGUAAAUAACUAUGUGCAAUAUUUUGAGUGCAGAGUUGGUAGAACACACAGGAACAGGUAAAGGCUUUUCGUUGUUUCCGUGAGAGUGAGCACCGGCAAGAAACUUUGGAGACACUUGUUGCUGAAAGAAGAGUUCACAAUGGUUUUCUACAAGUUGUUUCGGAGGAAGCUAUACCUACACAGCUAUGAUUGAAAAACAUUUUUACCUAAAAGUGGGAAAAUGUAAAGAAAAGAAUCUUUUUUCUUACGUUAACUAAAACUUCCAAAAAAUCAAUGCAAUUUACUAUGUAUUCUAUUCGCAUAUGCAUCCUGAGCGAAGAAUGAGUAAUAUUAGGUCAUCGAAGCUGACCAGGAACCUGCAUUUCAAAUAGUUCGUAAGGCCAUAUACAGAAAGAAAGCUUUUAGCCUCUGCCUCUACCAUCAGCAUUUAUCGGCGCUGAUCCAAUCUGCAACCAUGACAUUGGCUUCCCAUUUCUUCAAUCUGCUUGUUUUAUGUAAGUUGGCUAAAUGCAGCAAUGCAGGUACCAGCGAACUACCUCUUUAUUUCUGUAUACAGCCCUUUUUGCAAUAAAGCUGCUAUUGUCA
rnacentral:lncRNA from 1 species